rnacentral:rRNA from 1 species
CAGUCGAGCGGACGAGGAGGAGGAGCUUGCUCCCUGAUGUUAGCGGCGGACGGGUGAGUAACACGUGGGUAACCUGCCUGUAAGACUGGGAUAACUCCGGGAAACCGGGGCUAAUACCGGAUGGUUGUUUGAACCGCAUGGUUCAAACAUAAAAGGUGGCUUCGGCUACCACUUACAGAUGGACCCGCGGCGCAUUAGCUAGUUGGUGAGGUAAUGGCUCACCAAGGCAACGAUGCGUAGCCGACCUGAGAGGGUGAUCGGCCACACUGGGACUGAGACACGGCCCAGACUCCUACGGGAGGCAGCAGUAGGGAAUCUUCCGCAAUGGACGAAAGUCUGACGGAGCAACGCCGCGUGAGUGAUGAAGGUUUUCGGAUCGUAAAGCUCUGUUGUUAGGGAAGAACAAGUACCGUUCGAAUAGGGCGGUACCUUGACGGUACCUAACCAGAAAGCCACGGCUAACUACGUGCCAGCAGCCGCGGUAAUACGUAGGUGGCAAGCGUUGUCCGGAAUUAUUGGGCGUAAAGGGCUCGCAGGCGGUUUCUUAAGUCUGAUGUGAAAGCCCCCGGCUCAACCGGGGAGGGUCAUUGGAAACUGGGGAACUUGAGUGCAGAAGAGGAGAGUGGAAUUCCACGUGUAGCGGUGAAAUGCGUAGAGAUGUGGAGGAACACCAGUGGCGAAGGCGACUCUCUGGUCUGUAACUGACGCUGAGGAGCGAAAGCGUGGGGAGCGAACAGGAUUAGAUACCCUGGUAGUCCACGCCGUAAACGAUGAGUGCUAAGUGUUAGGGGGUUUCCGCCCCUUAGUGCUGCAGCUAACGCAUUAAGCACUCCGCCUGGGGAGUACGGUCGCAAGACUGAAACUCAAAUGU